CCUGAGAAACGGCUACCACAUCCAAGGAAGGCAGCAGGCACGCAAAUUACCCACUCCCGGCACGGGGAGGUAGUGACAAAAAAUAACGAUACGGGACUCAUCCGAGGCCCCGUAAUCGGAAUGAGAACACUUUAAAUCCUUUAACGAGGAUCUAUUGGAGGGCAAGUCUAGUGCCAGCCGCCGCGGUAAUUCUAGCUCCAAUAGCGUAUAUUAAAGUUGUUGCGGUUANNNNNNNNNUAUUGGUUCUGCGUGCCACGCUGUCGGUUCACCGCCUGCCGGUGCAACUGACAUGCCGUGGCAUGUCCUGCCGGUGGUGGACGGGCCUGGCGGCGCGCCCCUAUGCGGUUAACCCGUGUAGGGUGCCCGCGCCACUUUGGCUUCGUCCACCGUCCAAAUCCUACCGCGGUGCUCUUUACCGAGUGUCGAGGUAGGCCGGCACUGUUUACUUUGAACAAAUUAGAGUGCUCAAAGCAGGCUCUUAAAUCAGCCUGAAUAGUGGUGCAUGGAAUAAUGGAACAGGACCUUGGUUCUAUUUUGUUGGUUUCCGGAAUCCAAGGUAAUGAUCAAUAAGGACAGGCGGGGCAUCCGUAUUGCGGCUUGGCAAAUGCUUUCGCGGUGAAAUUCUUGGAUCGUCGCAAGACGACCUAAAGCGAAAGCAUUUGCCAAGUAUGUCUUAAUUGAUCAAGAACGAAAGUUAGAGGCUCGAAGGCGAUCAGAUACCGCCCUAGUUCUAACCAUAAACGAUGCCAGCCAGUGAUCCGUCGAUGUUCCUCCGAUGACUCGGCGGGGAGCUUCCGGGAAACCAAAGCUUCUGGGUUCCGGGGGAAGUAUGGUUGCAAAGCUGAAACUUAAAGGAAUUGACGGAAGGGCACCACCAGGGGUGGAGCCUGCGGCUUAAUUUGACUCAACACGGGAAACCUCACCAGGCCCGGACAUUGGAAGGAUUGACAGAUCGAUAGCUCUUUCUCGAUUCAGUGGGUAGUGGUGCAUGGCCGUUCUUAGUUGGUGGACUGAUUUGUCUGGUUAAUUCCGAUAACGAACGAGACUC
rnacentral:rRNA from 1 species